rnacentral:antisense_RNA from 1 species
CCCUUUUCUCCGCCUUUUCCGCGCUCCAUCUUGCCCUCCUCCCUCCUUCGCCCCCGCUCCUACUCUCCCCUUCUUCCUCUCUCCCCACCCCCUCCCUUUCUGGGGCAGGCGUUUCUCCGAGGCGCACUGAGGCUCCGGGGCGAGUCCGUGCAGCGCGAGCUGGGGAAAGCCGUCCGGGGCUCCCGAUGACCCUGCACUCCGCCGGGAGGCCGCCCUUCGGAAAAGCCGUGGAAACACACCCGGAUUGAAAUGCCCCUGGCCCGCCUGACCCGACCCCAGGAGAAGCAGCCGAGUUACCCGACAUCGUGGUCAGCAGGAGCUGGGUCGGUGGCUGGAUGCUGCAGCUGCAGGGACUCAGCGCCUGGGAGGGCUCCUGGGGCAGGGAGAGAAGCAGAGAUGCAACAUUUUUAAAGUUUCACAAAGCAUCCGGCUGCACCCAGGUCCCUGGAACAGGAGACAAACAGAAUUAAUGUUUUAUACCUUCGGGUAUAGGAUUGAGUUUUUUCCCCCUCAUGCCAAGUAUUUAAAACCUCUAGAAACCCAUGAUUUGACAAUCAAUGAUUGCGCGAUACUUUCAAUUUGAAUAUUCAAAGGCUUAACAAAAUGGACUAUCUUCUGCAGAAAUCCUGCACACAGGCACCCCGCAGAGAGUCCAGAGAAACAGGGAGUGAGACCCCUUUGGAUCCUGGCCCUUGCUUUUAUUAUAUUUUGAGCAUUUUGUCCUCCUUCCCACAGACAGAGCAGAUGUCCUCAAAGAUGCUCUGUAUUUCAGCCUUCAGGGCAGCUAGGGAGCCAUGAGUGACUUAGGCUGCCCUGGCCAUGAACACCAGAGCCAGACUGGCUGGCCCGACUGAUUCCCGCAUCCCCCAUCUGUGUUUUGAGGGGAAAUCUCAGGUUUUGAGGAAUGAACAUGGCAGCUAGUGGGUGUGGCACAGCAAGAAGUCGCUCUGGGCCCAGGUGGCAGGCCAGCGGCCUAGCAGAGGCCUUCGCUGUGCACCUCCUAUUUUUCUGGCUCCGCCUGGCUACCAGCGGGCUUCCCUCCCCCUUUCAUCCCGCUCUUCCUGGGCCCGACACUGGGGUUUCUGCUCAGAAUGACUGCCCAUUAAGACCCUUUGCUCCUGCCCACAGAGCUGGGGAUGUCUCAUCCUCUGGAGACUUUCUGACUCUGGAUUUCACUACUGCACUGUGAAGUGCCCUCUUUGCUUUUUCUCCCUCUAGAGCCACCCCUGCCUUUUUGCUGUAGGAGCACAUGUUAGGAAACAGUGACAAGUUUGGCUCCUGCUCAUUUUAACUGAAAGGACGUGGACUUAGGUUCAAGCCUUCUCCCGCUGGGGUGAGAAGGGGGAGGGACUUGGGAUCAGGCUUCCCCCUUGGUCCAGGGCCAAGCCCCUCACUAAUGACUUGGGAUUCUACUGGGUCAUCUUCUGUGAGUACUUACUGUGCCUCUUCCAUGUGAUUUGGAAGGUGAGGAGACAGGAAUGGUCCACAGAGGGAGAGAGUGCCAGGCCAAAUCCUCUCAUAGCCACCCACCCCCUCCACAGAAGGGGACAGCAAGAGAAGACAGACAGACACGGUGGGGUUCCUUUUGCAAAUAACCAAGAUAUUUCCAGGAUUCAGGACCAGGCCACGGUUUUAGGCCUCUGCUCUUUGUUCUCUGAGUUCUCAGAAAUGCAAAAAGUGUAAUUUAGCCCCAAAGGCCUCUAGAAAAAGAUUGGGGUGCCCCCACAUGUGUCAAAUACAGAAUGAGACACACAGAGCUUAGGGAAAGGGCAACUGAGAAUGACAAGACUGAUAGGAAUUGCUUGGCAGCUGAAGCCACAUCUCUGGGGGAGAGGAGCAGGCCUGGGAACACCUGAGGUGGCACCUGGCAGUGGAGGGCAGGAUGGAUGUAUUGAAAUCUGACAGCUUCUGGAGCUUCUUUCUACAAAUGCCCCUGAGCCUGUGUCCUAGGUUUCCCUGAUGGACCAGACCUGAGGAGGGGAAGGACAAUGGGAGUGGAGAUAGCACCUCCCCUCCCUGCAUACCUUCUUCCCCGCUGUGCCUAGGCAUCACCCCCUCUGAAGGAACAGUGAACCAAGCAGCUUGGAAUCUAGGGAUGGUCUCUUGUCCUCAUAGCGUCUUCCAUUACUUCUUUUCUUUGCUGCUCUCCUCCUUUUUGUUGUACUCUUAUUUUUUGAUUUGCUUUUAAAAACCUUCUUUUUUGUUGCAUUUUUGUUUAUUUCUUUCCGUGUUUCUUUGUCUCUCUUCCUGUUAUUGCUUUCUUCCAUUUCUUGUUUGCACUACUGGUUUUCUCCCUGGCUUCACGUGUCUCUGUGUUCCCCUGUGCUGGAGUGUCCUCCCAAUGCUUUCAGGCUUCAUCUCCUUCCUAACCUCUCCUUUCAUGUGGAGAUGGACAGGAAUGGCAGGAGCAUUGAGUGCUCUUGGCAACACCAUUGAAGAUGGUGUUGACGAUCAGCUACCCUGUGGAGAAGGCAGGCCAGGCUGGGUGAGAGGGGAGCUCCUUGGAAGUCAGGGGGUCUGUAAGGACAGCAAGGAUCUCUUUGUCCCAACUUCCAGAAGCCUUUGUGGGUGCUUCUGUGUUGGCCUUGUUUCUGGAAUGGCCAUCUCAGUGCUGUUGCUGGCUAGCAAUUUCAGAAAACUAGAUUUGUCUAGGCCUGAGCCGUGUUUUGAGAAAGAAGCUUCCCUCUGGUUUGUAGCCCAACAUUAAUGAGUUUUGAUUCUUGUUGUUUCUAUAAUUACAAAACCACUAGCACAGGUAUUUAAGAGCCAAAUGCCAUGCUUGUGGAAGUAAAGAAGGAAUCUUUCUAAAUGGAUCCUGCAAAUCCUCCUUACAGAUCUGAGUGGUUGAUCAGACCCAGAGCAACCCUGAGAUCCCAGGUACCCACAGCAUUGGCUAUUCUUCAUAGGUGACUCAGAGAAGGCUUCAUAGGAGACUCAUUGUUGUUUACUGGACAUCAGGUGCUAUAUUGUAUAGCAUUCACAUUCCACAGGUGAGGAAACAGGCUCAGAGGAAUAAGUGGCAUGCCAAGAUCAUCGAGCAUAUCAGUAGCAGAAUUAGGAUUCAGACUUUCAUAGGUCUAACUCCAAAGCCCUGGGUUUUUUUUUUUUUUUUUUUUUUUUUUGAGAUGAAAUCUCACUCUGUCCCCAGGCUGGAGUGCAGUGGCAUGAUCUGAGCUCACUGCAACCUCUGCCUCCUGGGUUCAAGUGAUUCCCCUGCCUCAGCCUCCUGAGUAGCUGGGACUACAGGAUGCACCACCACGCCCAGCUAGUUUUUGUAUUUUUAGUAGAGAGGAGGUUUCACCAUGUUGGCCAGGAUGGUCUCCAUCUUUUGACCUCAUGAUCUGCCUGCCUCGGCCUCCCAAAGUGCUGGGAUUACAGGCAUGAGCCACCACACCUGGCCUUUGCUCUUAACUACUGAUGUUGUCUUCCUGAUCUUUUCUACCAGAAGCUUUUAAACUUUUUGGACUUUAGCCUACAAUAAGAAAUCUGUUUUACAUGUUCACAUGUAUCUAUAGCAACAUUUAUAUUUCUAAAACAAACUUUUCAUGAAACAACAUAUACCUACGUAUGUGAGGCACUCUGAUAUUUUCUAUUCUAGUCCACCUUUGCCAUUUCAUUAUAUUUAUGGAAAAUAUAUGUUGGUUGGGAGUCGCUAAGUUAAUUUAAUGACCCACUAAUAGGCUGUGAGUGGCAUUGGAAAAAUACCUGCUUGUAAGAUAUGCGAACACACGUUUCAAGGUUGUUUGUGCAUGUGGAAAUAUUUUGGGGUGCUAUCUGUUUUACCAUCAGUUUGUACAAGGACACUAAGACAGUGUAGCCUGCUGACUUGAGAAUGUUCUGUAAGGACUGGAAACACUAGAACCUUGAAGAAAUGCCUGGCUAGAGGUGAGGGUAAGCUGUUAAUUACACUGAUUACAGUUUGUGCCUCUCAGACUGAGAACUCUUCCUUCUUGCUAGGGGCAUUUCUACCUCUAGGAUGUUUGCCCUGAAGUCCUGAUAGUCUCUUUGGGGUUUUAAUAAAUGGCUGAAAAAAUUGUUGUGGGGUUUCAACAGGCGUUCAUAGGCAUCCUUGCUUGGCAAUAUAACAUGGCUUUUGAUGUUUGGGUGUUGGAAGGGAUCUUUGAAGGGCUGAGAGGGACUCAGAGUCUUUUUCCAAAAUCUCUGCUUGUGUCUGUCCAGCCUCUAGCUCCACUGCUUGGCUGAGAUCCUGGGUCACAGUAGAAUCUGUGUAGAGGAAAUGAGAGCUCACUAUUUGUGAGGCAGCCUGUUCCACUAUUGGACUGCUUUAAAUGUAGUGACCAGUGAUUAUGCUAUAAUCCAAUCAUGUAUUUGGGCACCAACUAUGCACUAGGCAUGGUAUCAAGUACCAGGAGUACAAAAAUUAGUAAACUUUGAUUUCUGCUAUCAAUUUCUCUCUUCUCCUACUUCUGUACUACUGCUUUUCUAUUGUGAGUUUGUUUAGUUCAUUAAUUGGUUCAUUCAUUCAUUCAACAAUCAUACACUGAUUAGCUACUCUGACCAGGUCCAGUACUAAGUCUAAAGAAGUUAUGCCCAUCCCAUCUCCACCCCAAGCCUUCUCCUUUUGAGACUCCUCAUCCAGUUUCUCUAGUUCUUCACAUGUCACUGUUUUUCAGAUCUCUGGCUAUCCUUGCCAUUGACCUCAGAAAUCCUGUAUUUGACCUUGACCUUCUUAUACCCAGUCUGUACCCAAAGUGAUGGGAAUGGAAUAGAUUUCUUUUUAAAAUUUUAAACUGAAUAUUUUGACUGAAAAAUUUUGGCAGUCUUUUGUAUGCAAAUGACACCGCAGAGCAUUGUUUUCUUCCCCCACGUAGGAGAUUUCAUUCAACUUAGGCACAGGCAUAUUAAAAGACUUUUAGUAUAAGGAAAAGGGAUAGUUUAUUCCCUCCAAAUUUGACUACAGCUUGAAAUUGUCUUUAUUAAUGCAAAGUUCUUUUGUCACCUUGACUUUGGGACACUGUUACCAAACCUUGUGGGAAAUAUCAAGUUCCAGAAGAUUGAAUACAUGUAGGAAACGAAUGUUUUUUGGGCCCUAGAGUGAACAUUUGGUCCAUAUGAAAAUGACCAGGAAGACAAUUAGGUGAAGGUUUUUUAAUGAUUUGUGCUACGUCAGUCUCUUCCCAUAAGACAUAUUCAAAGUUUUAACUUUUCUUUAAGCGGCUUCCAUGGGAGCAAGCAUUUGGUAAUUCAUCCUUUAACUAAGAAAAACACCACUGUACACUGCUUGAAGAGUUCCUCUCCUAUUACUUAAAACGUUUUUAUUGUGCAACAUUUAAGGCAUACAAAAACAUAUAAAGAAUACCAUGAUGAAAAUCUAUGACUAUAUUAUCAAGCUUAAGAAAUAAAACAGUUGAGUGAUCUUUC